GUUGGGCUCUGUGUGUUGAGGAGUCUUGUGACUGCCUUGGGGCUUUGGGCUGUAGUCAGCUGACAGUCCUUUGUGCUCUGUGGGGAUGACGUAGGCCAAUGAGAGGACAAAUGCCCCUCUGAACUGUCUUCUGGGCAGUGACUGUCAUGGUCAUAAUCCUGACCCUGAGCCAGUGCCAGGUCUCCAAGUGCCUUCUGAAUGACCACAGGCGAUUGGUUUUAGUGGUAGGUGUGUGGGGAUCUGUUCUGGUCAUCUGGAUGCUGGUCAUCGGUGUGCAGUAUUGAUCAGGACCUGCAAACCCAAAAGUUUAUGGGAGCUGGCACGUCAUAUUUCUGGACCCUGGAGCCCCACCCCAAGCUAAAGACCAGGAUACAGGGAAGCCAAAAGCCACUGGCGGUUCUGAGAACUUACUUUUCACUUAUUCUGCAUUUACUGUUUCCUUUUCUUACGCAGAAAAAGAAAAAAACCAAGGUAGGUGUGUGGGUAGAGAGCAUGAAGUGUGUGUACUCAUGCAUAUGUGUGUAUGUGCAUGCGUGUGAAGUGUGCAUGUGUGAGCUCAUAUGCAUCCAUGCACCAGACUUGCCUCUUCCUCCCCCUCCUUCCCUGAGCUUCUGCUGGGGCCGAGCGUGCAGUAAUGACAACUACAAUAUGCUGGGGGAAGGCUACGUGCCAAGCACUCUUUUAGGUGCUUUCCAUGAUUAAUUCCUUCCUCACAACAGUCCUAUGAGAUUAGUACUAUAACUAUCCCCAUUUUCAGAGGGAGAAAAGGUACAGACUUGACUAACUUGCCCAAGGCCACACAGCUAGGGAGGGGCAGAGCCAGUACUUAGAGCCAGGCAGUGUGGGUCCAGAGUCCGUGUCCUGAACCACAAGAGGCCAUCAUACACCAUCAGAUUUGGUGCUAGCAUUUCUGGUGGUGCCUGGUGGUGAUGGAUCCAUCACAGGGGUCCUCCAGGUACUGGUGCUGGCCCAGACCAGAGCUGACACUCAUCAGGCACUACCACAUUCCAGGCACUGUGCUUGGGGUCAAUCCCUCUCUUUCCCCCCCGCCAAUUAUAACAGUAUCUACAAAGUAGGUGCUGUUAUUUUUCCCCUUUCACAGGUGAGAUAGACUCAAAGAAGUGAACUUGCCCAAGGAACAGAACUAAUGAGUGGGGAAAAUGGAACUGGAAACCAUGUCUGUUUACUCCAAAACCUGUGUUUCUUGCCCUCUUUCUCUGGUGCCAGCCCCUACACUUCAAGGCCUAUGUUGUCCAGACCCACACUCGGGCCUGCCAGUGUGUGCCUGGCAGGGAUGCUCCAUGGCCACACCAUAUCCAUCCUACACAUCCCCCCUCAGAAUGUGACCUCCAUUUGCUCUGGGAUCCCCACAAGCUUCA
rnacentral:lncRNA from 1 species